GAAACGACUGCUAAGACUGGAUAGGAAGAAAUAAGGCAUCUUAUUUCUUUUAAAAGACCUAGUAAUAGGUAUACUUUAGGAGGGGCUUGCGCCAUAUUAGUUAGUUGGUAGGGUAAUGGCCUACCAAGACGAUGAUGUGUAGCUGGACUGAGAGGUUGAACAGCCACAUUGGGACUGAGACACGGCCCAAACUCCUACGGGAGGCAGCAGUAAGGAAUUUUCGGCAAUGGAGGAAACUCUGACCGAGCAACGCCGCGUGAACGACGAAGUACUUUGGUAUGUAAAGUUCUUUUAUCAAGGAAGAAAAGCAAGUGGCGAACCAUUUGUUUGCCGGUACUUGAUGAAUAAGCCCCGGCUAAUUAUGUGCCAGCAGCCGCGGUAAGACAUAAGGGGCAAGUGUUAUCCGGAACUAUUGGGCGUAAAGGGUGCGUAGGCGGUCUAGUAAGUCAGUGGUGUAAUGGCAACGCUCAACGUUGUCCGGCUAUUGAAACUGCUAAACUUGAGUUAGAUAGAGGCGAGUGGAAUUCCAUGUGUAGCGGUAAAAUGCGUAAAUAUAUGGAGGAACACCAGAGGCGUAGGCGGCUCGCUGGGUCUUAACUGACGCUGAGGCACGAAAGCGUGGGGAGCAAACAGGAUUAGAUACCCUGGUAGUCCACGCCGUAAACGAUGAGUACUAAGUGUCGGGUUAAACCGGUACUGAAGUUAACACAUUAAGUACUCCGCCUGAGUAGUACGUACGCAAGUAUGAAACUUAAAGGAAUUGACGGGACUCCGCACAAGCGGUGGAUCAUGUUGUUUAAUUCGAAGAUACCCGAAAAACCUUACCAGGUCUUGGCAUGUUUUUGCGAAACGGUAGUAAUAUCGUAGAGGUUAUCAGAAACACAGGUGGUGCAUGGUUGUCGUCAGCUCGUGUCGUGAGAUGUUAGGUUAAGUCCUAAAACGAGCGAAACCCUUAUCGUUAGUUGCCAGCACGUUAUGGUGGGGACUUUAACGAGACUGCCAGUGAUAAACUGGAGGAAGGUGAGGAUCACGUCAAAUCAGCAUGCCCCUUAUGACCUGGGCUACAAACGUGAUACAAUGGCUGUUACAAAGGGUAGCUGAAACGUAAGUUCUUGGCCAAUCCCCAAAAACAGUCUCAGUCCGGAUUGAAGUCUGCAACUCGACUUCAUGAAGUUGGAAUCGCUAGUAAUCGCGAAUCAGCAUGUCGCGGUGAAUACGUUCUCGGGGUUUGUACACACCGCCCGUC
rnacentral:rRNA from 2 species